rnacentral:rRNA from 2 species
CCAUGCAGUCGAACGAUGAUCCGGUGCUUGCGCCGGGGAUUAGUGGCGAACGGGUGAGUAACACGUGAGUAACCUGCCCUUGACUCUGGGAUAAGCCUGGGAAACUGGGUCUAAUACCGGAUAUGACUCCUCAUCGCAUGGUGGGGGGUGGAAAGCUUUUUGUGGUUUUGGAUGGACUCGCGGCCUAUCAGCUUGUUGGUGGGGUAAUGGCCUACCAAGGCGACGACGGGUAGCCGGCCUGAGAGGGUGACCGGCCACACUGGGACUGAGACACGGCCCAGACUCCUACGGGAGGCAGCAGUGGGGAAUAUUGCACAAUGGGCGAAAGCCUGAUGCAGCGACGCCGCGUGAGGGAUGACGGCCUUCGGGUUGUAAACCUCUUUCAGUAGGGAAGAAGCCCUCUUUGGGGGUGACGGUACUUGCAGAAGAAGCGCCGGCUAACUACGUGCCAGCAGCCGCGGUAAUACGUAGGGCGCAAGCGUUAUCCGGAAUUAUUGGGCGUAAAGAGCUCGUAGGCGGUUUGUCGCGUCUGCUGUGAAAGACCGGGGCUCAACUCCGGUUCUGCAGUGGGUACGGGCAGACUAGAGUGCAGUAGGGGAGACUGGAAUUCCUGGUGUAGCGGUGAAAUGCGCAGAUAUCAGGAGGAACACCGAUGGCGAAGGCAGGUCUCUGGGCUGUAACUGACGCUGAGGAGCGAAAGCAUGGGGAGCGAACAGGAUUAGAUACCCUGGUAGUCCAUGCCGUAAACGUUGGGCACUAGGUGUGGGGGACAUUCCACGUUUUCCGCGUCGUAGC